GAUGAAGAACGCAGCGAAAUGCGAUAAGUAGUGUGAAUUGCAGAAUUCAGUGAAUCAUCGAAUCUUUGAACGCACAUUGCGCCCUUUGGUAUUCCUUAGGGCAUGCCUGUUCGAGCGUCAUUUAAACCUUCAAGCUAAGCUUGGUGUUGGGUGACUGUCCGCUUCACGGCGGACUCGCCUCAAAAUUAUUGGCGGCCGGUACAUUGGCUUCGAGCGCAGCAGAAACGCGAACUCGGGCCCGUCGUAUUGGCUCCCAGAAGCUAUCUUCACAAUUUUGACCUCGGAUCAGGUAGGGAUACCCGCUGAACUUAAGCAUAUCAAUAAGCCGGAGGA
rnacentral:misc_RNA from 1 species